rnacentral:rRNA from 1 species
UGGGGAAUAUUGCACAAUGGGCGAAAGCCUGAUGCAGCAACGCCGCGUGAGUGAUGAAGGCCUUCGGGUUGUAAAGCUCUGUCUUUUGGGACGAUAAUGACGGUACCAAAGGAGGAAGCCACGGCUAACUACGUGCCAGCAGCCGCGGUAAUACGUAGGUGGCAAGCGUUGUCCGGAUUUACUGGGCGUAAAGGAUGCGUAGGCGGAUUUUUAAGUGAGAUGUGAAAACCCUAAGCUUAACUUGGGGACUGCAUUUCAUACUGGAAAUCUAGAGUGCGGGAGAGGAGAAUGGAAUUCCUAGUGUAGCGGUGAAAUGCGUAGAGAUUAGGAAGAACACCAGUGGCGAAGGCGAUUCUCUGGACCGUAACUGACGCUGAGGCAUGAAAGCGUGGGUAGCAAACAGGAUUAGAUACCCUGGUAGUCCACGCCGUAAACGAUGAGUACUAGGUGUAGGAGGUAUCGACCCCUUCUGUGCCGCAGUUAACACAAUAAGUACUCCGCCUGGGAAGUACGAUCGCAAGAUU